AUGGGCUGCUCCUGGGAUCCAGUUUGAAGGCUAGGGGCUGAAGGGAACCAGAGACCAAGCGUGAGCAAGAAUUCAGCCCCCUAGGAUCUAGAGGACACAGGCUAGCCCCCCCCCCCCAGCUUGCAGGGGUGAGGGCAGUAAGGAGGAGCAUUCUGAGUAAGUGGCCACCAGGAGGAGGGAUGAUCCGCGGAAACCUGAGCGCAGAGGCUCAGAGCUGCAGCCUACGCCGAGCCAGCAGGACCCUAGCGGCUCCCCCUGCACCGGCUCCUGCCAAGCGCUUCCACGCCUCGCUGCGUUUAAGGAACCGAAAUAUUGGAAGCGGCCCCCAAGGGAAGCAGAUGCUCGACUUUCACAUCCACCAACUAAAAUCUCAUCUGACCCGAAAGAAGAGUGAGAGUUCACAGCUCCAAACCGCUCCUUACAGAGCAGGUGGCAGAUUAGGAACGUUAUUCGGUGCAUGGACCUGCCACAGGUCUAUUCAGAAGUCCCUCCAGAAGUCUUUCUGAUGUAUCUUCCCGACCUUCAGGUCAGAUGUGUCUCUCUGUACAUCUGGAGCAUCCUUCCUCUUGCCCUCCCUUUGGCCCUGGUUGGAGGUGCUGCUGGCUCCCCUGCUUCCCACCAGAGCAGUGGCUUCCUGAAGGGAGGCCCUCCGUCUGCUUUACUCAGCACAGUAUUCACCUCCUUCUCCAGGCACUUGGAACAAUUGUUCUCAAUAAACAUUUGUUA